rnacentral:lncRNA from 1 species
CCGCCUAAAUUUUUUUCUGCGUAGUAUUGAUGUUUCAAAAGAUGUCGCUUAGAUAUUUGGAAUAUGAUGUCGUAUAGUUUAUACGCUUUAAAAAUUUACAACUGCGUAACAAAAUACUUUACGUUGUAAGAGUUAUCUCCCAAACACGCCUUUUCGUAAGAGUUAUCUCCCCAAACACUGUUUUUCUUGUGGCCACUACUCCUUUGCAACCGUAAAAGAUUAUGACAAAUUAAUUUUACCAAAUUGCUUGUUACUUCUUCAGGAUUAGGAUAUUCAUUUGGAUCGAAGCUAUCCAGAGACUCCAUAUGAGAGUUAUUUCCCCUUAUGCAUUUGAUAUAAGUGAUAUGCGUUUCUAACUGGUAAACCAUCAGUGAUAUAGGCCUAGGGUCUUUGGAUUUAAGUUCCUUGGUCCAAAAAAAUGAAAAUAAGGUCAAGGUCAAAGGUCAAGGUCAUAUUCUAAAUUUUGAUUUUGGCUUAUUUUCUCUUUUUUUCAACAACUGUGAAAGAUAUAGACAAAUUGUUUUUACUAAAUUGUUAGUUGCGACAUGUUGUAACUUAUAAAUUUUGGUUGGAAAGGUGUGUAAACAAUAAAUGAGAGUUUUCACCCAUCUUAUAUUUAAAAUCAUGCCUAAAGUGAUAUAACUCAUUAACCAUACACAUUACAUACCUAGGGUCUUUUUAUUUGAAGUCCUUGGUUGGUGACCAUGAAAUUGAGGUCAAGGUUAAAGGUUAAUAGGACGUUCUAGAUUUUGACCUUUGCCUUAAAUUCAUAUUUAUACAUUUUAAAGUCAUAGGAACUGACAUUUUAGAUUGAUUUUUAAUAUUUUGAUAAUAAAAUAGAUCUUUACUUGUGGAAAGACCUUCAAUUGUUCUUUGAACAAUUGGUUUUUAAUUAGGUCUUUCCACUUUUCCGUGGAAAGACCUAUAGGUUUUGUUCUGAUUAUUAUUAUUAUUAUUAUUAUUAUUAUUAUUUUUUUUUUCUUCCGCCUAAUUUUUUUUCUUGCGUAGUAUUGUUGUUUAAUAAGUUGUCGCUUAGAUAUUUGGAAUAUGAUAUCGUAUAGUUUAUACGCUUUAAAAAUUUACAACCGCGUAACAAAAUACUUUACGUUGUAAGAGUUAUCUCCCCUAACACUGUUUUUCUUGUGGCCACUACUCCUUCGCAACCGUAAAAGAUUACGACAAAUUUAUUUUACCAAAUUGCUCGUUACAUCUUCAGGAUUUGGAUAUUCAUUUAGACCGAAGCUAUCCGGAGACUCCAUAUGAGAGUUAUUUCCCCUUCUGCAUUUGAUAUAAGUGAUAUGCGUUUCUAACUGGUAAACCAUCAGUGAUAUAGGCCUAGGGUCUUUGGAUUUAAGUUCCUUGGUCCAAAAAAAUGAAAAUAAGGUCAAGGUCAAAGGUCAAGGUCAUAUUCUUAAUUUUGAUUUUGGCUUAUUUUCUCUUAUUUUCAACAACCGUGAAAGAUAUUGAGGAAUUAUUUUUACUAAAUUGUAAGUUGCGACAUGUUGUAACUUAUAAAUUUUGGUUGGAAGGGUGCGUAAACAAUAAAUGAGAGUUUUCGCCCAUCUUAUAUUUAAAAUCAUGCCUAAAGUGAUAUAACUCAUUAACCAUACAUAUUACAGACCUAAGGUCUUUUUAUUUGAGGUCCUUGAUUGGUGACCUUGAAAUUGAGGUCAAGGUCAAAGGUUAAUAGGACGUUCUAGAUUUUGACCUUUGCUUUAAAUUCAUAUUUAUACAUUAUAAAGUCAUAGGAACUGACAUUUU